GGGUCAGUAGGUUGGUCGUGCCACCGGUACGUACUGGUCUCACUGAUUCCUCCUUCCUGAAGAACCGUAAUGCUAUUAAUUUGGUGUUGCGGGGAAACAGGACUGUUACUUUGAAAAAAUUAGAGUGUUUAAAGCAAGCUAACGCUUGAAUACAUUAGCAUGGAAUAAUGAAAUAGGACGAUCGAUCCUAUUUUGUUGGUUUCUAGGAUUGACGUA
rnacentral:rRNA from 1 species